ACACAGUAUUAAAGGUGACGCCUGCCCAGUGAAAUUUUAAACGGCCGCGGGAUCCUCCACCGUGCAAAGGUAGCAUAAUCACUUGUCUCCUAAAUAGUGACUAGUAUGAAUGGCCAAAUGAAGAUUUUACUGUCUCCUAUAAAUAAUCCGUGAAACUAAUCUUUCAGUACAAAAACUGAAAUUUUUACAUAAGACGAAAAGACCCUGUGGAACUUCAAACGAAACUUAAUAAAAAUAAGCUAUUUCGCUUUUAGUUGGGGCAACUUUGGGAAAAAACAAAACUCCCAACUAUUACAAGAAACACACAUCUACUUACAUAAACCACUGACCCAGUUUUAUACUGAUUAAAGAACCAAGCUACCCCAGGGAUAACAGCGCCAUCCCCUCCAAGAGCCCAAAUCGACGAGCGGGGUUUACGACCUCGAUGUUGGAUCAGGGCACCCAAACAGUGCAACAGCUGUUAAUGGUUUGUUUGUUCAACAAUUAAAGCCCU
rnacentral:rRNA from 1 species